UACGAAGGGUGCAAGCGUUACUCGGAAUUACUGGGCGUAAAGCGUAUGCAGGCGGAUCGUUAAGUCGGGGGUGAAAUCCCGAGGCUCAACCUCGGAACUGCCUUCGAUACUGGCGAUCUUGAGUCCGGGAGAGGUGAGUGGAACUCCGAGUGUAGAGGUGAAAUUCGUAGAUAUUCGGAAGAACACCAGUGGCGAAGGCGGCUCACUGGCCCGGUACUGACGCUGAGAUACGAAAGCGUGGGGAGCAAACAGG
rnacentral:rRNA from 1 species